rnacentral:rRNA from 1 species
AGAGUUUGAUCCUGGCUCAGGAUGAACGCUAGCGGCAGGCCUAAUACAUGCAAGGCGCGGGGGGUGGCAACACUUUACCGUCGAACGGGUGCGUAACGCGUAUGCAACCUACCCAUGACAGGGGGAUAGCCUUUGGAAACGGAGAUUAAACCCGCAUGAUACUUGUUGUUCGCAUGGGCAAGAAGUUAAAAGAGUGAUUUGGUCAUGGAUGGGCAUGCGUCUGAUUAGGUAGUUGGUGAGGUAACGGCUCGCCAAGCCGAUGAUCAGUAGGGGGCGUCAGAGCGUGGUCCCCCACACUGGCACUGAGAUACGGGCCAGACUCCUACGGGAGGCAGCAGUAGGGAAUAUUGGUCAAUGGAUGGAAGUCUGAACCAGCCAUGCCGCGUGCAGGACGACGGCCCUUCGGGUUGUAAACUGCUUUUAUUGAGGAAGAAGAGAUCUCUUGCGAGGGAUUGUGACGGUACUUAAUGAAUAAGCACCGGCUAACUACGUGCCAGCAGCCGCGGUAAUACGUAGGGUGCAAGCGUUGUCCGGAUUUAUUGGGUUUAAAGGGUGCGUAGGUGGUUAAUUAAGUCAGUGGUGAAAAUGGGUUGCUCAACAACCGAACUGCCAUUGAUACUGGUUGACUUGAGAUAGGUUGAGGUUGGUGGAAUGGAUGGUGUAGCGGUGAAAUGCAUAGAUAUCAUCCAGAACGUCAAUUGCGAAGGCAGCUGACUGGGCCUAAUCUGACACUGAGGCACGAGAGCGUGGGGAUCAAACAGGAUUAGAUACCCUGGUAGUCCACGCCGUAAACGAUGCGAACUAGCUAUUGGUAUUCCCAUAUCAGUGGG